GUAGCUUGCUAUGAGCUGUUUUAGCGGCGGACGGGUGAGUAACGCGUGAGCAACCUUUCCCAGACAGGGGAAUAACACACCGAAAGGUGUACUAAUACCGCAUAAGACCACGGAAUCACAUGGUUCUGAGGUAAAAGAUUUAUCGGUUUGGGGUGGGCUCGCGUCCGAUUAGGUAGUUGGUGAGGUAAUGGCCCACCAAGCCGACGAUCGGUAGCCGACCUGAGAGGGUGAUCGGCCACAUUGGGACUGAGACACGGCCCAAACUCCUACGGGAGGCAGCAGUGGGGAAUAUUGCACAAUGGGGGAAACCCUGAUGCAGCGACGCCGCGUGAGCGAAGAAGUAUUUCGGUAUGUAAAGCUCUAUCAGCAGGGAAGAAAAUGACGGUACCUGACUAAGAAGCCCCGGCUAACUACGUGCCAGCAGCCGCGGUAAUACGUAGGGGGCAAGCGUUGUCCGGAAUAAUUGGGCGUAAAGGGCGCGUAGGCGGCUCGGUAAGUCUGGAGUGAAAGUCCUGCUUUUAAGGUGGGAAUUGCUUUGGAUACUGUCGGGCUUGAGUGCAGGAGAGGUUAGUGGAAUUCCCAGUGUAGCGGUGAAAUGCGUAGAGAUUGGGAGGAACACCAGUGGCGAAGGCGACUAACUGGACUGUAACUGACGCUGAGGCGCGAAAGUGUGGGGAGCAAACAGGAUUAGAUACCCUGGUAGUCCACACUGUAAACGAUGAAUGCUAGGUGUAGGGGGUAUCGACCCCUUCUGUGCCGCAGUCAACACAAUAAGCAUUCCGCCUGGGGAGUACGGCCGCAAGGUUGAAACUCAAAGGAAUUGACGGGGGCCCGCACAAGCAGUGGAGUAU
rnacentral:rRNA from 1 species